rnacentral:rRNA from 1 species
GAUGAACGCUGGCGGCGUGCCUAAUACAUGCAAGUCGAGCGAACAGACGAGGAGCUUGCUCCUCUGACGUUAGCGGCGGACGGGUGAGUAACACGUGGAUAACCUACCUAUAAGACUGGGAUAACUUCGGGAAACCGGAGCUAAUACCGGAUAAUAUAUUGAACCGCAUGGUUCAAUAGUGAAAGACGGUUUUGCUGUCACUUAUAGAUGGAUCCGCGCCGCAUUAGCUAGUGGGUAAGGUAACGGCUUACCAAGGCAACGAUGCGUAGCCGACCUGAGAGGGGGAGCGGCCACAGUGGAACGGAGCCGCGCUCCGGACUCCGCGGGGAGGAAGCAGUAGGGAAUCUUCCACAAUGGGCGAAAGCCGGACGGAGCAACGCCGCGGGAGUGAUGAAGGUCUUCGGAUCGUAAAACUCUGUUAUGAGGGAAAAACAAAUGUGUAAGUAACUAUGCACGUCUUGACGGUACCUAAGCAGAAAGCCACGGCUAACUACGUG